CCUCGGGAGGUGCAGUGGGGAAUAUUGGACAAUGGGGGGAACCCUGAUCCAGCCAUGCCGCGUGUGUGAAGAAGGCCCUCGGGUUGUAAAGCACUUUCAGUGAGGAAGAACGCCUGGUGGUUAAUACCCAUCAGGAAAGACAUCACUCACAGAAGAAGCACCGGCUAACUCCGUGCCAGCAGCCGCGGUAAUACGGAGGGUGCGAGCGUUAAUCGGAAUUACUGGGCGUAAAGCGCGCGUAGGUGGCUUGAUAAGCCGGUUGUGAAAGCCCCGGGCUCAACCUGGGAACGGCAUCCGGAACUGUCAAGCUAGAGUGCAGGAGAGGAAGGUAGAAUUCCCGGUGUAGCGGUGAAAUGCGUAGAGAUCGGGAGGAAUACCAGUGGCGAAGGCGGCCUUCUGGACUGACACUGACACUGAGGUGCGAAAGCGUGGGUAGCAAACAGGAUUAGAUACCCCAGUAGUC
rnacentral:rRNA from 1 species